rnacentral:rRNA from 1 species
UACGUAGGGAGCAAGCGUUGUCCGGAUUUACUGGGUGUAAAGGGUGCGUAGGCGGCUUUGCAAGUUAGAUGUGAAAUCUAUGGGCUCAACCCAUAGCCUGCAUUUGAAACUGCAGAGCUUGAGUGAAGUAGAGGCAGGCGGAAUUCCCCGUGUAGCGGUGAAAUGCGUAGAGAUGGGGAGGAACACCAGUGGCGAAGGCGGCCUGCUGGGCUUUAACUGACGCUGAGGCACGAAAGCGUGGGUAGCAAACAGG